AGCAAAUAUUAAUAUGACAUUGGAGGUACAGAGAUUUCAGUGAGUGUUUCUUAACUUCUUGUUUUGGAACUCUCAAAUUUUAACAAUAUUUUUCUUUCUUACGAGGAAAUAAAACUGAAUUUACACAUUCACAUCAAGUGCAAUGACAUGAAGUUGAUUUUUAUAAUGUUUUCUUAAAGCAAGUGUCAUUAGUGCAUCUUUUUAGAAUAAGGAUCCAAGGAACAACACGUACAUUUCUUCAUGGCAGAUGUCACCGACAUUGCUGCAUGGAAAAUACCUUAGGAGACAUAGAACUAUUAGAGAAAUAGUAAGGUUAAUAAUAGCUUUUAUUUUGUUUCACUAGAGAAUAUCUGACAAAUAAAACAAGAUGAUUCUUGAAAACCCUCACAAAAGUAAUCUUUGAACAAGUAAAACUCUUUUAUAGAGAAAAUAACUAAUGUGUCUUAAACUUUUGGAUUAACAUUUCGCGUACUCUGCAACAAAUCAGAAUAAUGUUCAUCUUCAUACUUUUUUUUUUAUAGCACCCAUGAGCCUUUCUCAGUGUACUGGACGCUGUACAAACACAGCACAGCUUCAUCAAAAGAUCACAGGUAAACAAGAAAAAUAUGAACUGUCAAUGAAUCAGGUUGGAGACGUUUCAAGAAAAACACUGACAAAAUCAAUAUUAUGUCAAGUUUAAGUCCACAUCUUCAUUAAUGACCCAGAAACGUA
rnacentral:lncRNA from 1 species